rnacentral:rRNA from 1 species
UGGGGAAUAUUGCACAAUGGGCGAAAGCCUGAUGCAGCAACGCCGCGUGAGCGAUGAAGGCCUUCGGGUCGUAAAGCUCUGUCCUCAAGAAACAAAUGACGGUAGCUAAAGAGGAAGCCACGGCUAACUACGUGCCAGCAGCCGCGGUAAUACGUAGGUGGCAAGCGUUGUCCGGAUUUACUGGGUGUAAAGGGUGCGCAGGCGGGACUGCAAGUUGGAUGUGAAAUACCGAAGCUCAACUUCGGAGCUGCAUCCAAAACUGUGGUUCUUGAGUGGAGUAGAGGUAAGCGGAAUUCCGAGUGUAGCGGUGAAAUGCGUAGAUAUUCGGAGGAACACCAGUGGCGAAGGCGGCUUACUGGGCUCUAACUGACGCUGAGGCACGAAAGUGUGGGUAGCAAACAGG